GUGAAAAUCAAGCGUUUUCUCUUCGCAAAUCCCCCAUUUAACCCGAAAAUCACGCGUUUUCUCUUCGCAAAUCCCCCAUUUAACCGGAAAAUCACGCGUUUUCUCUUUGCAAAUCCCCCAUUUAUCCCGAAAAUCACGCGUUUUCUCUUCGCAAAUCCCCCAUUUGAGCAAAAAUCAAGCGUUUUCUCUUUGCAAAUCCCCCAUUUAACCAAAAAUCACGUGUUUUCUCUUCGAGAAUCCCCCAUUUUAACCCAAAAAUCACGCGUUUUCUCUUCGCAAAUCCCCCAUUUAAGCGAAAAUCACGCGUUUUCUCUUCGCAAAUCCCCCAUUUAAGCGAAAAUCACGCGUUUUCUCUUCGAGAGUCCCCCAUUUAACCCGAAAAUCACGCGUUUUCUCUUCGCAAAUCCCCCAUUUAAGCAAAAAUCACACGUUUUCUCUUCGAGAAUCCCCCAUUUAAGCGAAAAUCACGCGUAUUCUCUUCGCAAAUCCCCCAUUUAACCCGAAAAUCACGCGUUUUCUCUUUGCAAAUCCCCCAUUUAACCCGAAAAUCACGCGUUUUCUCUUCGCAAAUCCCCCAUUUAACCCAAAAAUCACGCGUUUUCUCUUCGCAAAUCCCCCAUUUAAGCAAAAAUCACGCGUUUUCUCUUCGCAAAUCCCCCAUUUAACCCGAAAAUCACGCGUUUUCUCUUCGCAAAUCCCCCAUUUAAGCAAAAAUCACGUGUUUUCUCUUCGCAAAUCCCCCAUUUAACCCGAAAAUCACGCGUUUUCUCUUUGAGAAUCCCCCAUUUAAGCGAAAAUCACGCGUUUUCUCUUCGCAAAUCCCCCAUUUAAGCAAAAAUCACGCGUUUUCUCUUCGCAAAUCCCCCAUUUAACCCGAAAAUCACGCGUUUUCUCUUUGAAAAUCCCCCUUUUAACCCGAAAAUCACGCGUUUUCUCUUCGCAAAUCCCCCAUUUAAGCGAAAAUCACGCGUUUUCUCUUCGCAAAUUUCCCAUUUAAGCGAAAAUCACACGUUUUCUCUUUGCAAAUCCCCCAUUUAAGCGAAAAUCACGCGUUUUCUCUUGGAGAAUCCCCCAUUUAAGCGAAAAUCACGCGUUUUCUCUUCGCAAAUCCCCCAUUUAAGCAAAAACCACGCGUUUUCUCUUCGCAAAUCCCCCAUUUAACCCGAAAACCACGUGUUUUCUCUUCGCAAAUCCCCCAUUUAUGCAAAAAUCACGCGUUUUCUCUUCGCAAAUCCCCCAUUUAACCCGAAAAUAACGCGUUUUCUCUUCGCAAAUCCCCCAUUUAACCAAAAAUCACGCAUUUUCUCCUCGAGAAUCCCCCAUUUAAGCGAAAAUCACACGUUUUCUCUUCGCAAAUCCCCCAUUUAAGCGAAAAUCACGCGUUUUCUCUUCGCAAAUCCCCCAUUUAAGCAAAAAUCACGCGUUUUCUCUUCGCAAAUCCCCCAUUUAACCCGAAAAUCACGUGUUUUCUCUUCGCAAAUCCCCGAUUUAAGCGAAAAUCACGCGUUUUCUCUUCGAGAAUCCCCCAUUUAACCCGAAAAUCACGCGUAUUCUCUUCGCAAAUCCCCCAUUUAAGCGAAAAUCACGCGUUUUCUCUUCGAGAAUCCCGCAUUGAACCCGAAAAUCACGCGUUUUCUCUUUGAGAAUCCCCCAUUUAAGCGAAAAUCACGCGUUUUCUCUUCGCAAAUCCCCCAUUUAACCCAAAAAUCACGCGUUUUCUCUUUGCAAAUCCCCCAUUUAACCCAAAAAUCACGCGUUUUCUCUUCGCAAAUCCCCCAUUUAAGCGAAAAUCACGCGUUUUCUCUUCGCAAAUCCCCCAUUUAACCGAAAAUCACGCGUUUUCUCUUUGAGAAUCCCCCAUUUAACCCGAAAAUCACGUGUUUUCUCUUUGCAAAUCCCCCAUUUAACCCAAAAAUCACGCAUUUUCUCUUCGCAAAUCCCCCAUUUAACCCGAAAAUCACGCGUUUUCUCUUCGCAAAUCCCCCAUUUAAGCGAAAAUCACGCGUUUUCUCUUCGCAAAUCCCCCAUUUAACCCGAAAAUCACGCGUUUUCUCUUCGCAAAUCCCCCAUUUAACCCGAAAAUCACGCGUUUUCUCUUCGCAAAUCCCCAUUUAACCCGAAAAUCACGCGUUUUCUCUUCACAAAUCCCCCAUUUAACCCGAAAACCACGCGUUUUCUGUUCGCAAAUCCCCCAUUUAAGCCAAAAAUCACGCAUUUUCUCUUCGAGAAUCCCCCAUUUAACCGAAAAUCACGCGUUUUCUCUUUGCAAAUUCCCCAUUUAAGCAAAAAUCACGUGUUUUCUCUUCGAGAAUCCCCCAUUUAAGCGAAAAUCACGCGUUUUCUCUUCGUAAAUCCCCCAUUUAACUUGAAAAUCAAGCGUUUUCUCUUUGCAAAUCCCCCAUUUAACCCGAAAAUCACGCGUUUUCUCUUCGCAAAUCCCCCAUUUAAGCGAAAAUCACGCGUUUUCUCUUCACAAAUCCCCCAUUUAAGCAAAAAUCACGCGUUUUCUCUUCGCAAAUCCCCCAUUUAAGCAAAAAUCACGCGUUUUCUCUUCGAGAAUCCCCCAUUUAACCGAAAAUCACGCGUUUUCUCUUCGCAAAUCCCCCAUUUAACCCAAAAAUCAUGCGUUUUCUCUUCGAGAAUCCCCCAUUUAAGCGAAAAUCACGCGUUUUCUCUUCGCAAAUCCCCCAUUUAACCCGAAAAUCACGCGUUUCCUCUU
ensembl:lncRNA